GUAAGCAAAUCAGUAAGAGGUGUAGGUGGGACGUGAAGCCUGCUUUUAUUUAAUCAAAAAGUUGUGUUUUGAAUGUACCAGAAGGUGAUCCAGGAAGAAUUUAAGAACUUUUAAACAAACAAUUCCUGCUGGCAGCUGUGAAGGCCAACAACACGAUUCGGCACACUGUGGACGCAUAUCAGCAACACCACUUGCCCUGGGGUGAUGUGUGAUUCCUUGAAAUGAAGAAGAUGAGAAAUCCCAUCACUAAAUCCAUUCGACAUGCUGAGGCACCAGAAACAUUUUCAGCUUGGACCUUUGUUUAUACACGGAGUUCCCGACACUCUUGCCCAGUUGGUAAACACUAAAAGAACAGCAUGACUUGGGCAUUGAACUUUACACUCAAAAUCUUGAUGCAUGAGGGUGAUGGAGAGGGCCAAGAUUGGGAGCUUCACGUAUUAACUGAUUUACUCAAUAAGUAUUUAUAUAUGACAUUCUACAUUCAUAUGUAGAGUUCUAUGUGAAUCUAGAACGUGAUAUGUAUAUUGAGUUCUAUGUGAAUAUACAAGGUGACAUAUAAAUGCUUCUUGAGAAUAUAUAUAUAUAUGAAUACAUGCCAUUCUAUAUAGUGUUAGAUGCUGGAGGUCAACAAAACACACAUAAACCCUGUCCUCAAGAAGCCUUCCAAGAAGGACACCAUGGUGUGCUGUAGGGAUGGAGAGAGAGCGAUGGAGCAGAGACGGGGGGCUGGGAACCAGUCUGGGAAUCAUGAAAAGCCCUUGGCCGAGGUCACCCUUCUGAUGGGUUUUGAAAAUACAAAGGAGCUGGGCAGAGAAGUGAGGGAACA
rnacentral:lncRNA from 1 species